rnacentral:rRNA from 1 species
GACGAACGCUGGCGGCGUGCUUAACACAUGCAAGUCGAACGCUGAAGCUCAGCUUUUGUUGGGUGGAUGAGUAGCGAACGGGUGAGUAACACGUGAGUAACCUGCCCCCUUCUUUGGGAUAACGCCCGGAAACGGGUGCUAAUACUGGAUAUUCACUGGUCUUCGCAUGGGGGUUGGUGGAAAGGGUUUUUCUGGUGGGGGAUGGGCUCGCGGCCUAUCAGCUUGUUGGUGGGGUGAUGGCCUACCAAGGCUUUGACGGGUAGCCGGCCUGAGAGGGUGACCGGUCACAUUGGGACUGAGAUACGGCCCAGACUCCUACGGGAGGCAGCAGUGGGGAAUAUUGCACAAUGGGCGCAAGCCUGAUGCAGCGACGCCGCGUGAGGGAUGGAGGCCGUCGGGUUGUGAACCUCUUUCGCUAAUGGUCAAGCCGCAACAAUGGUUGUGGUGAGGGUAGUGGGUAAAGAAGCGCCGGCUAACUACGUG